rnacentral:rRNA from 1 species
CCUACGGGAGGCAGCAGUGAGGAAUAUUGGUCAAUGGACGAGAGUCUGAACCAGCCAAGUAGCGUGAAGGAUGACUGCCCUAUGGGUUGUAAACUUCUUUUAUAAAGGACUAAAACGAGGCACGUGUGCCUUUUUGCAUGUCCUUGAUGAAUAAGGAUCGGUUACCUCCGUUCCAGCAGCCGCGGUUAUACGGAGUAUCCGAACGUUAUCUGUAUGUAUUGGGUUUAAAGGGAGCGUAGGAGGGUUGUGAAUUCGAUUUUGAAAGUUUGGGGCUCAACCGCAAAAUUGCAAUGCAUACUGGCAGUCGUGACGACAGUUGAGGUAGGCGGACUGCGUGGUGUAGCGGUGAAAUGCUUAGAUAUGACGAAGAACCCCGAUUGCGAAGGCAGCUUACUAAACUGUGACUGACAUUGAUGCUCGAAAGUGUGGGUAUCAAACAGGAUUAGAUACCCCAGUAGUC